rnacentral:rRNA from 1 species
GACGCAGGGCGCGAGCGUUGUCCGGAUUUAUUGGGCGUAAAGCGUCUGUAGGUGGCUUUUUAAGUCCGCCGUCAAAUCCCAGGGCUCAACCCUGGACAGGCGGUGGAAACUACCAAGCUGGAGUACGGUAGGGGGCAGAGGGAAUUUCCGGUGGAGCGGUGAAAUGCGUAGAGAUCGGAGAGAACACCAACGGCGAAGGCGACUACCUGGCCUGUUCUUGACGCUGGAGGCGCGAAAAGCCUAGGGGAGCAAACGGG